AAAAAAGAAUGCAAAAGAUAAAAUUAUGUCUAUUAUGUACAAGACCCCUUCUCUGAACACUGAAGYAGGAUACUUUACUGGCCUAUGCUCAGAGUCGUGGUUGAGGUAMAACUUGGUGGAAUCAGGCAUUUAAGAGUGGGUAUCUUUUGCUGUCAUCAGCAAAGGCUUGAGUCACAGAGAAAUGUGAGGAUUUACACUUCUGAAGUAGGUGUGAAUGGGAUUGAAGGGCUCACAUGGAGGAUUCUGAAUGCCCCUUCUUCCUGCUCCAGGAAGGACGGGGGCCUGCKUUGAGACCACCUCUGACUAUGAUCCACAUGUGCUGCUGAGGCUGACUCGAAUGGUGUGACAAAUAUAUCAUUUGCAGGACACUGGAGGUGGUGGAAGAACCAGAAAGCCWCACUGCUCUACCGUGGUGUAAACUGCUGCUGAAAAUCAUAAAGAAGAAAAGGAAACUUGAUUUACAGUUUUUGAUAAAGUGACAUUGGGGAAUUUAUGCUUCCUUGUCAAGUUACUUAAGAGAUUCUGACAACGGAUCCAAAGUAACUCCAUCUUCAAAAGGGACAAAAGAAAAUCAUGUCAAAUCUGAUAGUCUUCUGAUGUGGAUUUCUACAAGGAUUCUUCAAACACAAAUUAUUUUAAACAGCAAUGGCCUUAUUCAAGAUGCCAUAAAUAAGGUAACAGAAGCAUGUCAAAAUGAUACAGUUUGUGCUGAAAUCUGUUCUACAGCAGCUAAGAGGGUUGAAGCUAACCUUGUGCAUCAGAGGUAUGUUAUAAAUGACUGGCAAGAGUGACUCCAAUAUUUGGCCCAUGGUUUUCAGAACAGUUUGGAAAAAUAUUUUCACACAGUAUGUGCCCAAAAUAUUUUUAUAAGCUAUCCUCUGCAUUUUAUUUAUAUCAUGUAAAAGUUUGUAUCCAGAGACUAUAGRCCAAUUACCCAUCCAAAGUAAGCAGCAAUGUUGGUUGGAGUAAAAGAAACAAUAACCAGAUUAAACUGCUAAAAUWUUUUUUUUUUCAUUUGUAUACUUUAUAUAAGUUCCAGCUGAAAGAGAGGGCCCAUAUUGUUUGAGUCUGUGCAAAAGCAGAGUGCAGCGUAUGGAGAGAACACAGGGAAUGCACAGAGUAAAAAUUUGAUCUGAGAAAAUUGUAUAAAGAACAAUUGUGAGAAAAAGGAGGAGGAAUAAAGGUGUUGAUUCUGUUACAAUUAAAAGUAUUUGGUUUUUUGCUUAAAUUCCUCUACUUUUGCUUCUUAUUUGAGGAGGAUAUGAGAAGCUUCAUUUUAAUCUGAGCUUGCCUAAAGAUUCUUUUACUUCCAGGCUCUGUAACAUGGUAAUCUAUGAUGAGAAAAAAAUCACAGCCUAGAUAUAGCAAGUGUUCCUUUGAUGAACACCACCAAAGUUUUUACUGACAUCGUGGAGCACUUUUCUUAAGCAAGCAAUUUAGCUUCUCAGAAUAAUAUCUGUAAUGGUGGACGGUAAUAUUUACGUGCACCAAAUGGGUAAUUCAACACUCAGGAUGAAUUCAGAGCUGCUGUGGCGGGUUUUACUUCUUUGAAGUSAAAUGAUUUGCACAUGCCUGUGUAAUGGCCGAGUGUGAGCUCCUCAGUUUUUCAAAGUUAGGUUGCUGAAUAUACCGGAGCAACUGUUUUGGAAACAUACUUCCUAAUCAUAGCAUUCCUAUUCCACUAAGGAUGUGGUUUUGAUCAAUUAUUUACUUACCCAACCUCAAACAUACACUUUCCAAAACCUUUCUUUGUUCAGUUUGUACCCAAACUUYAUGUCUUUGGUACAAGCAUCUACAGAGAGUGUGAGAGAAGUGUCUGUUGCAAUUGUGUGCAGCUCCAACAUGUGAAACAACAUGAAACAAGCAUGAUAUUUGAUUUUUUAAUCUCCUUUAAUUUUGUGAGAUUUCACUACAUUAGAAUAUCCUCACCAGCAGCCCUUCUGCAGUUACCAAACAUCUCAGCUUUGUUUCAGUGCUUAACCAGCUGUAAAAGAUAUUUUAUUGCCUUAUAUAUUCUUCCACCAUAAAGCUCACCAUUUAAGUAAAUCAUUCCAGUGUUGCAUUAUAGAUGACUCUGAAAAGGAUUUUUUUUUUUUUGUCCAGUAAUCGUGACUAGUGGCCAGGUAUGCACAGGAACCAACAUAUUAGGAGCUAACAUCAACCUGUCCUGCAGUUAUUUGAGAGAGGGGAGUAUGCACUCAUUACCCCAUGAGUAAUGCAGCAAUCCUCUGCCCUGCUGCUGAGCACCAGCUGGCUGCUGUGUGCUGUCAGAGCUGCUUGCCAGCAGGCACGGCUCAUUAAGAGCCCACUUGCAGGAUAUAACAUCUUUGCAGUCAAUUAACAAUGCUGCUCUUUAAAAAGGUCCAGAGCCUUCCUGAUUCAGCAAAGCRCUUCCAUAUAUGUUCAAAGUUAAAUGCUUGAUUAAAGUUUUGUGUAAUGAAGAUGUGAGGUCUUGUGCUUGAGGUUAAACAGGUAGGCACAUUUCCAAAUCAGGGCCUGACAUGUUACGGUUCUUGGAGGUUUCCAGGAAUCUYGAAUAUCCUGAAAUACUGACUAUGCUGAUUUCCAAGGUGAGUAAAACCUACAAUGGGAAAACAAAGCCACAUCAGGUGACUGUGAAGCAUGCAGGAAAACUUCUUAAAAUCUGUACCUGGUCAUCACUGAUGUUUGUCUUCUCAAAGAAAUUCUAGCAGACUGUUUACAUUUUUGUAACCUUAAAAUAAAUAAAAGAAAUUACACAACCCCAGUUGUCUGGAAAUGGUGAAAAAAUAUUCAUUCAUAGAUGAUAAAAUUAACUUAUUCUUUGAAGAAAGAAGCAAUAAGAGUAACUAAAUUGUUAUGCACUUUCUGCCUGUAAUAUUUCUCACUGGGCAGGGUUUGUUUUGUAACCUGCUUCCUGUGGUCARGUUAAGGAAUGUGUAUUAGGAGAACCAAAAUUCAAACUUUUGCCUUGGUAUUUUAUGUAACAAUGGCUGCCACUUUCCCAUGCUUAUUUUUUGUUGUAUAACAUCUGCUCACUUACUGUAAUAUCCUACUGAUAAAUCCUAGCAGUAAUAAGCAAAUGUCUUUGUUCUAGUUCAGUGGGUCAACAGCAGAAUCAAAGAUAAUCUCUCACUGAUUGUGAGCUAUUUAUAAACACUACUCUGAUCCUUGUGGAUUUGGUCUAAACACCUUACCAUGAGUUCAAAACUUGAUAUUUUCUGUAAUAGUAUGCUGAAUUGUCAGAGCUCACUGCUCCAUCUUCUACAAUGUCUUAUCUUACAUCCCCAGUAAYAAAAUACAAGGUUCCAGCUGAUUGCAAUGAGUUUAGAAUCAAACAUCAAAUAAUUUUUAAAGCAACUUGUGAAUGUUUGGUGAGGCAUCCUAUGAAUAUGGAUUGUUCCAUACUUCCUCUUAUUUACUUUGUGCUGUUAAGAGAACAAGUUGAAAUAAGCUUUCCGGUGCAUAUGACACCUUACUUGCAUGUUUUCAACUUUUAUUUUCAGUCUGAUUUGGGUUGGAGGGUUAUUUUGGUUUGAAUUUAUUAUUUGGACCUGAAACUUCAAAUGAGAGAGCCAAAACAAAUACAUMUCCUGUACAGAGACUGUCUGGAGGUAGCUGGAACUGGAUCACAGCCUGUAGGGCAGGCACAGCACCUCCUGUUGAGGCAGUGGUAUGUCAUCCAUGCCCAUGGAACUGGUGCUUGCCACCUUUGAGCUUGGGGAUAAUGGCUUCUGGUACCCCAAAUGAUAAGGCAGGGGUCAGAUCCUAAGGAUCUGUCUCUGGUUUUCACUGUCAGAUUCACUGGAUCUCUUCAUGGGUAAGACUUGGAGGUUUCACAGAUUAUCAUGUUUCAGAUAUGUGGGGAAAAAGUUGGGUUUUGUUGGCGCAAUGCUUGAUCACCCCAGAGGUGCAGGCUCUGGAAGAACUGAAAUCCAGAGAGGCGAGGUAAAUCCUGCUACAACACCAGCCCCUAAAUUCCACAUCUGUCACAGCCCACAAGAAAUCUACAUGAAAGUUCAGUGAGAGUCCUUGCCCUGAACUUAUUUCAGAUGGAACAUGUUGGGUUCAGUGAUGGACACCUCUUUAGGURAAAGCAUUUGCAGCAAAAUGUCCAACCCCUUGCAGGGGUGAGCCAGAGUUGGGAGGCUCCAUCAGAAAUGGGGGAAACUUCGGAACAGUUUGGACUACAUGUGAACUUUACCACUGAUGAAAUGUAAAUAAUCCUACUCAGACUCUUAACAGCUGAGUUGCAGCAGAGAUUUUGAAAAGAAAGAAYUUGGAUCACAAUUUUAUGGCUAUUUCUAAAAUAUUUUAUUGCUGGCUUAUGACCUGAGUGUAAAUUAUGGAGCUUUAAAGAGUUUCAUURUGAAGAUUUUGCCCUUUGCUUAUGUACAAACCAUAAAUACUACUGUUUUGUUUUCCCAGGAUGUUAAAUAUAUAUUUUUAAAGUGCUGUUAAGGAAGACAAGUGGGUUAAUAAAAAGAACACCCAACUAAUUUGCUUU